rnacentral:rRNA from 1 species
GACGAACGCUGGCGGCGUGCCUAAUACAUGCAAGUAGGACGCAGUUGCGACCGGGUGAGUAACGCGUAGGUAACUACCUAUUAGAGGGGGAUAACUAUUGGACACGAUAGCUAAUACCGCAUACUAGUAGAUGGACCUGCGUUGUAUUAGGUAGUAGGUAGGGUAAUGGCCUACCUAGGCAACGAUACAUCGCCGAACGGAGAGGGGUGUCGGCAACACGGGGACUGAGACACGGCCCAGACUCCUACGGGAGGCAGCAGUAGGGAUGCUUCGGCAAUGGGGGGAACACUGACCGAGCAACGCCGCGUGAGUGAAGAAGGUUUGCUGAUCGGAAAGCUCUGUUGUUAAGGAAGCGGUACUUAACCAGAAAGGGACGGCUAACUACGUGCCAGCAGCCGCGGUAAUUC